rnacentral:rRNA from 1 species
UACGGGCGGAGCAAGCGUUGUUCGGAUUUAUUGGGUGUAAAGGGUGCGCAGGCGGUCGACUAAGUCAGAAGUGAAAUGUCUACGGCUCAACCGAGACACUGCUCCUGAUACUGGUUGACUUGAGUGCGGAAGGGGAGCGUGGAAUUCCUGGUGUAGCGGUGAAAUGCGUAGAUAUCUGGAGGAACACCGGUGGCGAAGGCGACGCUCUGGUCCGUAACUGACGCUCAUGCACGAAAGCCAGGGGAGCGAACGGG